GAAGGAUGGUUUUGAAGAGUUGUGUGGGGGUUGUUCUCCCUAUAUAAACCUAUCGGUCAAUUCGCUGAUUCGUGACAACUAGAAAAUAUUAUGGACCGUAUAUUGUAAGUGGGGUGUUAUUCUCAAAAAGCAAUACCGACUGCAUAAUUGCAAAAUUUAUCCCAGCCAUACAGGCUUUCGGUGUUAAACUGAAAGCAGUUUUUUUUUUCAUGCCUAAUGGAAAGAAAUAGCAAUAUUAAUUCCCUCAUUUGAGAUUUGGUGCCUAAAUUAAAACUGAUCGACCUCUAGUUAUGAACUUUUAGUAAAAUUACUUGUUAUACAAUUUGAAGACCUGCCUCGGUGAUCAUCCUUUUCACAAUCUUCCACGUGUAUUAUUCACAACUGGUAUAUAUACCAUCCAAGCACCACCUUACAUGUGGGAAUGGGACAACAAGGCUGCUGUCAAUCGGCAAGUAGCGGACAACAGCGUAACGGCUUGAUUGUGAUAGUGCGUGUCUCCCUUAAAAAAACGAACAUUUCUGUCAAAGCGAUUGAUUCGAUCGAUAAUUCUACAUUAAUU
rnacentral:lncRNA from 1 species